CUUAAAGUUAACCAUCGAGAGACGUUAACCACCGAGAGUCGGUUUUUAGACCCGCCCAGUACGCCUACUUUUGGAGCUCUUUGGUAUGAAGAUAAGAAAAGUAUACGAAAUUACGGAACUGUGUACCCUGUUUUAUCCUUGUUGUUGGUUUACAGACGACUGGAUCCCUGUUGUGUUCACUUAUCGAUACACUACGAUGGAAUUACGGACCAGUUUAACAUAAACAUGGUAAAUAGAUAGACAGCUGAUAAUCAUAAUUGAUUAAGAAAUAACCUAGAAGAAGAAAUGAGUUAACUAUUGAUUAUAACAGAGACGAGAAUGCCCUCGUGUUUGUUCUGCUAAAAAAAAUGCAGGAACAUUGGAGUUUAUGGUUAGAUUUUAAAUAUUUAUUGUCUCCAAACUGGGUAAAUUUAAUAGGCACUGGCUACGGUUACAUGGAAAUGUAACAAUAAUAAAAAUAUUAUUGUUACAUUGGGGAUUAAAUGCCGGAAUGCAUGGUUGGAUAAGAACCGAUUAAUUACGAAUGUAACAAAAUUAUUUGAGGCUACGGUUACAUUGCGUUAUUGUUACAUGAAAAACAGCAAUGUUCGAUGGGACUAGUAAUAUGUACUAAAUAAUAAAAGUUGAAGACAUUAUCGUAUAUUUACAAUACAUACAAGUAUAACAUACAAUGUUUUAAUUUUUUUUAUAGUACGUCCUCCAUGGAUUCUGAAAUCGGACUCUGACAUCUCUUAAACGGGUGAGUUUUACUAUGCGUAUUGUUGUGAGUUUAUUUUUUCUACAUUGGCUAGAGGUAUAGGGGAGGGUUGAGAUCUCAUAAACAUGUUUAACCCCGCCGCAAUUUUGCGCCUUUCUCAAGUCAGGAUCCUUUGCAUGGCCUUUGUAAGUCUUGUAUGAUUUUUUAAUGUUAGUUUCUUGUGUAUAAUUCGGAGUUUAGUAUGACCUCCAUUAUCACUGAACUAGUACACAUAUUUGUUUAGGGGCUAGCUGAAGGACGCCUCCGACGGGUGCGGGAGUUUUUCGCUACAUUGAAGACCCAUUGGUGACCUUCGGCUGUUGUCUACUCUAUGUUCGGGUUGUUGUCGCUUUGGCACAUUCCCCAUUUCCAUUCUCAAUUGUAUACAUGUAUACAGAAGUUCACAGUGUUAGUUCACAGUUAGCAAACUUUGCGUUUGAUGUAUCAAUUUUUGGUAAGUGCGUUUGUAUAGCUGUAUGAAAUUUGUGUCUUGAUAUUGUUUCAGUUUCGUUUCAAACGCAUCCCAUGCAAGUUUUAAAUUUUUCACCAAACAAAAUUGGUAAUAGGAAUCUCUUCGUCUUUUGUUCAAAGUAUAAUUACAGUAAUACGAGUAGGUGUGCAGUUAAAUACUUAAAAGUGAACAGUUUUCUCAGCCCGAGUUUUCAACAACAAACCAUUGAACUAUAUGUUUCGCCUUUGACACUACUAAUUUGAAGUAGUAUCUUUAAGAACAUCAAAUCCAUUAAUACUUAAAACUAUUUAAACACCAUUUGUUGAAUAAUAAUAGUUAUUAUUUAUUAUUAUAACAAGUAUUAUUUAGUAGACAUGAAUGAAUUAAGCAACAAAACUAUAUAGAAGAUUUAAGUUUAAUAACAAGUUUAAUAAUCUAGCUUACAUUGCUGUUUUUCAUGUAACAAUAACGCAAUGUAACCGUAGCUCAAUAAUUAUUGCUACAUAGUAAUUAAUCGUUCCUUACCCAACUUUGCAUUCCGGCAAUUAGUCUCCAAUGUAACAAUAAUAUUUUUAUUAUUGUUACAUUUCCAUGUAACCGUAGCCAGUGCCAAAUUAAGCAUGAUAAAUAUCCCAACAUUUGCAUUUAUUUUAAAAUAACUCGAGAACCACAAAUCGCGCUCGCAGAACAAAGUAACAAUAAGAAAUAAUUAUUGUUAAUUUCAAGAAUAAUUAAUUGUCAAAACUUAUCCCCUCCCCGACAUCAAAGGAAGUUAAAUGUAUUGUUAUCCCAAAAUUAGACCAAAUUAUUAUGAUUUAUUAACCAAAUAAGUACAUUAUUGCCAAAAAUGACUAUUUUAAAAAUUACAUAUUUUCUGAAUGCCCUGUUUUCUGUAAUGGCCCUGUUUUUUCUGUAAUGGCCUGUUUUUUGUAAUGGUCCUGUUUAUUCCCAGUUCUGUAUUAAGCCAGUUAGGUUUUUUUUAAUAAAGUUAAUAAAAUAAGUUGUAAAGAGUAUAACACCUUUUGUAUUUUUUUAUUAGUAACACAGCAACUAACAUUAAAGAACCAUAUAAAGGGAUCACUGUUAUCCGUGUUUUUCAACAAAUAACUUCUUUCAACUUUAUUUGGAUAUUUGGUAUAUUUAAAGCUAUCAUGAUGAAGUACAAAUUAUUUUUUUUCAAACUACACUGUCAUUAAAAGAGUAAGAGAGUACAUCAAGUUGUAGUAACACAUUACUUUGUUCAGUUGGUUAAUAAAUGUAUUAAGAAUGGGUGUUUUUAUAAUGGCCUGUUUAUAUGUCCUCGUCAGUAAUAAUGGCCUCGGAUGUCUGAAAUGGCCCUCGGCGUUGCCUCGGGCCAUUACAGACUUCCUCUACCAUUAUUACAGACCUUGGACAUAUAACAGGGCCAUUAUAAAAACACCCAUUCAUUAAUACUAUAAUAAUGACGUCUUGACAGGCUAUUAUUUUAUUUUGUUUUGUUGGUUUUUUUCUUUGACGUCUUCCUCCUGUAUGAAAAAAACAUAAUAGACACCCCCCCUUUCCCCAUAAUAUAGCUUUUUUAAGAAGUCAUAAUUUUUGGACUACCCCUGAAUAUAUCAACAGACUCUUCUCUAAAAAAAUGUAAACUUGAUUGAGAGAAAUCUUUGGAAUAGUUUUUAAAUGAUUUUAAUUAUUGUCAUGUAUAUAAUUGACAUUAACAUAGUUAUAAACUGAGACUACUAAUAUAACACAUAGUGUUAUAGUAGUCUCAGCUUUAAACUUUCAUUGGUAUUGACCAAUAUGACUAACUCAUAGGCUCUUUCCCAUAAAUGUCACAAUAUCAAUAUAUUACAGUAAAACUGAUAGUUUUAUGACAUUGUUUAAGACUAUUGACCUCAGGUCAGCCUAAAAUUAAACCUAAGGCAUAAAAUACUUAGUGUGCAGAAAGUGCCACCAAAUAAAUACUGAUUUGUAAAAUUAGAUGAUGAUAUUUGCGAAGUCAAAGAUAUUAUAGCUAGUUAUAACUGGUUUUAGAUAUAAAUCUGAGUAAAAGGUUGAUUUAUAUGUGCUCUUUCAUGUUUAGAUUAUAAUUUAAAUUUAAUCUUUUGAAGUUUUUUAUAAAAUAUUAAGACAUUAAAAUCACAAUUAUUUAUUUAUACACAAAAAAAUAAAUUUUGUCCUUUUUUAGUUGAAUGACUGUACACAAACAUUAUACACAAAUAAUUUUGAUAAUUCUGUAAUGUUUUUUUUCUAUAGCCCCAGAAUGGUUAAAACAGUGACAAAAGACUUAUUAAUCCAGAUUUACAAAAAAUAGAAAUAGUUCAGCUACCAUAAGACUGCUACGACAAACAUUCUGCAGUUUCCAGAAUUUGAGGUAGAGUAUAGUUAGGAAUAGUUUGAAUAUGCAGAUGCUUAGUUUGCCAUAAACAAUUAUGCCCUUGAUACAAAAGCAGAGGAAAC
rnacentral:lncRNA from 1 species